rnacentral:rRNA from 1 species
ACGGGUGAGUAAUGCCUAGGAAUCUGCCUGGUAGUGGGGGAUAACGCUCGGAAACGGACGCUAAUACCGCAUACGUCCUACGGGAGAAAGCAGGGGACCUUCGGGCCUUGCGCUAUCAGAUGAGCCUAGGUCGGAUUAGCUAGUUGGUGAGGUAAUGGCUCACCAAGGCGACGAUCCGUAACUGGUCUGAGAGGAUGAUCAGUCACACUGGAACUGAGACACGGUCCAGACUCCUACGGGAGGCAGCAGUGGGGAAUAUUGGACAAUGGGCGAAAGCCUGAUCCAGCCAUGCCGCGUGUGUGAAGAAGGUCUUCGGAUUGUAAAGCACUUUAAGUUGGGAGGAAGGGUUGUAACCUAAUACGUUGCAAUCUUGACGUUACCGACAGAAUAAGCACCGGCUAACUCUGUGCCAGCAGCCGCGGUAAUACAGAGGGUGCAAGCGUUAAUCGGAAUUACUGGGCGUAAAGCGCGCGUAGGUGGUUCGUUAAGUUGGAUGUGAAAUCCCCGGGCUCAACCUGGGAACUGCAUUCAAAACUGACGAGCUAGAGUAUGGUAGAGGGUGGUGGAAUUUCCUGUGUAGCG